rnacentral:tRNA from 1 species
GAUUAUAUAGUUAAAAAUAUAAUAAACAGCUUGAAACUGUUAGUUGGUUUAGUACCUAUUUCUA